AAUGAACGCUGGCGGCAUGCCUUACACAUGCAAGUCGAACGGCAGCAUGACCUAGCUUGCUAGGUUGAUGGCGAGUGGCGCACGGGUGAGUAAUGCAUCGGAACGUGCCUUUUAGUGGGGGAUAACGUAGCGAAAGUUACGCUAAUACCGCAUAUUCUCUGAGGAGGAAAGCAGGGGACCUUCGGGCCUUGCGCUAGAAGAGCGGCCGAUGUCGGAUUGGCUAGUUGGUGAGGUAAAGGCUCACCAAGGCAACGAUCCGUAGCGGGUCUGAGAGGAUGAUCCGCCACACUGGGACUGAGACAAGGCCCAGACUCCUACGGGAGGCAGCAGUGGGGAAUUUUGGACAAUGGGCGCAAGCCUGAUCCAGCCAUGCCGCGUGAGUGAAGAAGGCCUUCGGGUUGUAAAGCUCUUUCGGCUGGGAAGAAAUCGCACCCUCUAAUACAGGGUGUGGAUGACGGUACCAGCAUAAGAAGCACCGGCUAACUACGUG
rnacentral:rRNA from 1 species